GGCGGUCUAGGGAGGCGGCGGCGCGGGGCGCGGGGGUGGCCGGGCCGCGGGCGGGCGGAGAGCUCCGAGGGGCGAGGCCAGCGGCGGGGUCGCUCGGCCCGGAGGAGCCUGCGUCCCGCUCAGCCUUGCAGCCCCGCGUCCUGAGCAUCUCCCGGAGGGACGGACGGAGACAAAGGAGGAUUCAUGUCCAAAGGGCUGCCUGAGAGCAGGACGGACGCAGCCAUGUCGGAGCUGGUGCCCGAGCCCAGGCCGAAGCCGGCGGUGCCCAUGAAGCCUGUGAGCAUCAACUCCAGCCUGCUGGGCUACAUCGGCAUUGACACCAUCAUUGAGCAGAUGCGCAAAAAGACCAUGAAGACCGGCUUUGACUUCAACAUCAUGGUGGUCGGUCAGAGUGGCCUGGGCAAGUCAACACUGGUCAACACACUCUUCAAAUCCCAGGUGAGCCGCAAGGCCUCCAGCUGGACUAGAGAAGAGAAGAUUCCCAAAACAGUGGAGAUCAAAGCUAUUGGGCACGUGAUAGAGGAAGGCGGUGUCAAAAUGAAGCUGACUGUCAUUGACACCCCGGGCUUCGGAGACCAGAUCAACAAUGAAAACUGCUGGGAGCCCAUCGAGAAGUACAUCAAUGAACAGUAUGAGAAGUUCCUGAAGGAGGAGGUGAACAUCGCCAGGAAGAAACGCAUCCCUGACACCCGCGUGCACUGCUGCCUCUACUUCAUCUCCCCAACGGGGCAUUCCUUGCGACCUCUUGACCUGGAGUUCAUGAAGCACCUGAGCAAAGUGGUGAACAUCAUCCCCGUCAUCGCGAAGGCAGAUACCAUGACGCUGGAGGAGAAGUCUGAAUUCAAGCAGAGGGUCCGCAAGGAGCUUGAAGUAAAUGGCAUUGAAUUCUACCCCCAGAAGGAAUUCGAUGAGGAUUUGGAGGAUAAGACGGAGAAUGACAAAAUCCGGGAGAGCAUGCCUUUCGCUGUGGUGGGAAGUGACAAGGAGUACCAAGUGAAUGGCAAGCGGGUCCUUGGCAGGAAAACACCCUGGGGGAUCAUUGAAGUGGAAAAUCUCAACCACUGUGAGUUCGCCCUGCUUCGAGACUUCGUCAUCAGGACGCACCUCCAGGACCUCAAGGAAGUGACACACAACAUCCACUAUGAGACCUACAGGGCCAAACGGCUCAAUGACAAUGGAGGCCUCCCUCCGGUGAGCGCGGACACAGAGGAGAGUCACGACAGUAACCCCUGAUGGCCCCUUCUUGUGUCAUCACACAUCCCCCUUCUCCACACAUAUCUCCCUCGUCCACACACACACCCCCCAACACCACCACCAAACAGCUUCUCCUCCUCUGUCCCACAAGCUUGUCUGGUGUUUGUGGAGUGUCGUGUGUGUGUGUGUGUGUGUGUGUGUGUGUGUGAGAGAGAGAGAGAGAGGGGUUGAGAGUGAAUGUGUGUUUGUGUGUGCAUGCAUGUGCAUGUAUGUAUGUGUGUUUGCACACAGGGGUGAGGUAUUUUCACUGCCCUCCCUGGAAAGUCCCUUGUAAGUUUGGUCCCUCCAUGACUGUCCAUUAUCUGUCUUCUUUCCUUGUGUCCCAGAACAAAGCUGUGUGCCUCCCUCAAGGUCUGGGGGAGGUUUCAUUUAAAGUCCAUGGGAGCAGGUGAACCACAGGUAACUCUGACCUCUGAGCCUGCCCACACGCCAGGACCAGAGACCUGCCAAGCCCAGUCUGUGAGCUAGACCUGGGAGAGGGGUGGGGUAGGGGGUGGGCAGUUGAGGACCCACCUCUCCUGGUGAGCUGGGAGUGGCCUUGGGGAAUGCUGGUGCUUCCUGGGAAGGCAGAGGAACGGCCAGGGUUGGGCUUCUGCAGGCAGAAGUUGGGUCUAUAAGCAGAGAAGAGAGCUUCACCCUUGGGUCUGUGUCUCUGUGUUGUGUCUGUCCAGAAACUGUUACCUGUCACUGUCGCAGACCACUGUCCACCCCCACCUCUCCUCUGCCCCCUUCUCUGCCGCCCCCAUCUCACUUCUCUUCUUUCACUUUCAAGAAUAAUCCAUCUUAGGUUCCUUUCUGUAGUUACUGUUUAUUACCUAGUCUGCUUCUAAGAGAUGGUUUUAAGCCACCUUCAAAGACCACAGCUAAUCGCACAGCAGAGUACAAACUGAGGUCAGCAUGUAGCAGUGUUGCCACUGACCAUGAACCUGUGGGCAGCCCAGGCAGGGGAGAGGCCGUGAGUAUCAGCUUUCCCUGUCUGGUUAAGGAAGUACCUAUGCCAGCCAGCCAGUGAGACAACCUAGUUUUUUUUCUUUAGGCAUUAAUUCUAGAAAAGCUAAGUAAAGAAGUAUCAAACCAAGAUGCCAUAUUUGUCUUUCUCAGUGGCUUGGCUUCAGAGGCUACACCUUCUGUUUGUCAGGAUUCCUUAUUUUAAAGCUGCUCUUCUGCUUCUGCUCCUCACUGUUGGUCCCUUUCUUCUGCAUUUCUGUUUGCUCUUAUUGUUAACACUGAAGCUAACUUGUGUGCUUGUCUGUCUGUGCUUUCUCUAGAGCCUCUGCUGACUCCUGUAGCUUCUUUCUCCAACCAAACCCACAAUCAGUGUUAUCUAUAAAUUUCUGAUCUUCUCCUCAGCCCUGUACUAUUAGUCCAGCUAUAUCCCCUGUUGGUUUUACAAACAAGUCACUUUUUCUCCACUAGUCUAGGAGGUGGCUGAAAAUUGGGCUGGGGAAACAGGUCAGCCUCAGGCCAGGGAGUGCCCACUAAGUCACAGGGUUUAGCGCCACCUCCUGCAGCCUCUUCUCUAGUCCCCUGGUCCAACGCUGGGUGUUUCUACUGGGCCUUAUAGACCCCAGCAUUUAUAGUUGCUGCCACUCAGGUGCUAGGAAAACACACAGACUUAAGACCAAGACUCAGUGGACCAGAAGGAAGAGGUGGCUGACCAGAUGUCCUAAAAUCCCCAAACCUCUGCCCCCAUCCUCCCUCCCUCUAGUUACUCUAGGCUUGGCAGCAGGGUCUAUGCCCAGCAGAGUAGCUCCUGGCUGCUCUAGUGAGCACAGUCCAGUGUGGAGACCUGGAACUGGUCACCUCACAGGGCCCAUUUUGGGGUGGGGCAGGUGGGCAGUGGAGAGACUGAGUCAGGAGCUACCACUCCCAGUCUCCCUGGAGAAGCUGUUCAGUAGGUAGUGUGCUGCUAGCUGCUGGUCUCCACCCCCUCAACCGUUCUCAACCCCCUGCAGGGAGAAGGCCUCCUGGGCACUGUCCUUCCACCUGUGCCAGCCACCCCUUGCCCCACUGCAGAAUGAAGGCACCCCCAGCCGGCUUCUCCCUCCAGUCUUCUCCGUUGUGUGCUGCGGGGCCAGGCCCUUUUUAGUGCUGCGCUUGUCACUGCAGCCCCUCAGCCCUCAGCAGUGGGGAGGGGCCAGCUGCCUCUUUAGGACGGUGGGCUCCUCCUCUACCCCCAGCACCCCUGCCUUCCCAGUGGAAUGGAGUUCUCGCCAGCACUGUCCUCCGUCUGUGUCAGCCAGCUUCACCCCUCUGUGGGGGAAGAGCUCACCGCGAGCUGCUUCUGCCCUCAGGAUCCCAUCCCAGCUGCUUGUGACCAUUCCUGUGGGCAGUGGUGCUGCCCCAUCCUUUCAUCCACACUUGCUACUCUUGGCUUCCUUAGAGGGUCAAGACGGCCUCUUUUCUGCUUGUCAGUUUGUGGACGUCAGCUGUGUGAGCCCCUGUGUGGGACAAGGGUGUCUCCUUCAUUGCUUAACGGUUAUUUACAGGGUGGGUCAUUACAGCUUCGGAGGAGCAAGGGAUAGGACCCUUAUAAAAAUCACCACCAUGGCUGCCCAGGGCAUGGUUUCACAGCCCUCUCCACCCCAUCACACAGCCGCUUAGGAAGAGUGGUUUCCUCAAAGAGGCAUUUCUGGAAUUGAUGUCCUUGUCCUCAGACCUAAUGAAUUAAACACAAAGGCACAGAGGCUCCAGAAACCCACACAAUGUGAACUAAGGAAGAAAAAGCACCCUCCUGCCUACUUAGCAAUAAGAGGGGCUCUUCCCACCCACCACCAGCCCUCCCCUAAAUACACCAACCUCCCCCACCCUGUUUAACCUGAGUCAUGAAUCAGCCAGGCCAUGGUUCAUCACUAUAGGCUCAUGGAAAAUACCCAGUGGAGGGCAGAAAGCCCCCCCCAUCAGAUGCAUGAAUGUUUGCGAGUGUCGGCUGCCACUGCCCCCCACCCCACCCCCACAUUUUGUCUUUCUGGAAGCCUCCUCCCUCCCCUGUCUCCACCUGGACACAACUGCUCUAAGGCUGGUAACUCGUGGGCCAUUCACCUCCAACAAGAUCCUGAUGGAGCAAGAAGCCCAAGCCUAGGGGAUGCAAGAACGACCCAUUUCUUAACUCUUACCAGUCCCAGCCAACCUUCCGGUGACACGAUUAAAUCUCCCAACUGAAAACAAGCCAAUAGACACUAAAACUGGUUGUGUAAAUGUUGCUAGAUUUUGUGUUGUACAACUAAACAUUGCUGUUUGAACAAUA